UUAAAUUGAAGAGUUUGAUCAUGGCUCAGAUUGAACGCUGGCGGCAGGCCUAACACAUGCAAGUCGAACGGUAACAGGAAGCAGCUUGCUGCUUCGCUGACGAGUGGCGGACGGGUGAGUAAUGUCUGGGAAACUGCCUGAUGGAGGGGGAUAACUACUGGAAACGGUGGCUAAUACCGCAUAACGUCGCAAGACCAAAGAGGGGGACCUUCGGGCCUCUUGCCAUCAGAUGUGCCCAGAUGGGAUUAGCUUGUUGGUGAGGUAACGGCUCACCAAGGCGACGAUCCCUAGCUGGUCUGAGAGGAUGACCAGCCACACUGGAAC
rnacentral:rRNA from 1 species